rnacentral:lncRNA from 1 species
GAUGUGGCUACACACUGCGUCACUGCCACGAUGGUGUUUUAUUUUUUUGUAUGCUAGCCGCCAAGUGGUACAAGCAUUAGCAGGGUUCAUAGGAUGACCGCAGCUUAAUUAAGGAAACCAGCUAUCAUCCCACUCGACUGGUAAAGAGCUUACGGGCAAUGCUUGAUUUUUAUUUUUAUUUGUGGGAAACGAUUUUUGUUGUUUUAGAGCGAAACAUGAAAGUUUUAGCAAAUCCUGCAUACAGUUUUGGCUGGAUUGUAUGGUGAGACCUGGGCUGGCCUUCUUGGGCUUUACAUACAGUUUUGGAGUCGCUUGAGAUAAAUAUUUGCGGCCUUUCGAGCCCAUAUAUAUAAUGGCUUAGAUACUGUGAUGGAAAAAAUGGAGUCUGUCAUGUAGAAUAGCGACCCUUACAAGUUCUGUAGAAAUGAGCUACAAAAGAAAAUCUAGUAAUUUUGAGGCUCUCUAAAUCAAUCCAAAGAAUGUGGUUUGACGUCGCAUCUGAAAACAAUUUUGCGUCAAGUCAUAUCUACCGUCAAAUAAAGAGUGACUCACUCAAAGGGAUCAGUGUCAGUUGCACUAGACAACAGACGGCUCUAGUCAAAGCAGAUCAUUGUCCAUCGCUGGGAAAGGAAAUCAUCAACCACGGACAAGUAACCUUUUACGACUUCCCCGCGAGAGAAAAAAAAAAAGGUAGCCUUUCACCACUGACGAGUUGGUGAGCACUGAAGAGAAGUGUAUCGGUGGGAUGAAGUCAUGAAGAUGAUGCAGAUGCAUACACGGUCCGUAUAUAAUUGGUACGCGCAAUUCGAAGUUCGAACAGUGAACAAUAAUACAGUACAGAGGAGAAAUAAAAUGGAAUAGAAGAAUAUUAGCAAAACAAAUAAGAAGAAAAGAAAAGGAGAAAUGAUAUCUUAAGGGUCUUUAAAUUAAAAAAGACAAGUAAAGAAAAUACUAUAAUGGGCCGGCCCAACGGGUCGCUGCGCAGGCCUCCCUUUCCCUCG